CAUCGCGGUCACGAGAAAUCCCUUCUCGCUAAACGUAUUAAAUGCAAGAAACGGCGGAUAUGGUGGACGACCCCGAGUACGAGGAAGAGGAGCCUUCCUUCAGCGACCCAGAGGACUUCGAGGAUGACGUCGAUGACGAGGAACUGUUGGAUGACAUCCUGAGAGAGAAACCCCAGGAGGCUGACGGCAUCGACUCCGUGGUGGUGGUGGACAACGUCCCGCAGGUUGGCCCCGAGCGUUUGGAAAAGCUCAAGAAUGUCAUCCACAAGAUCUUCUCCAAGUUUGGAAAGAUCACCACCGAGUUCUAUCCAGAGGCCGAUGGUACCACCAAAGGGUACAUCUUUUUGGAGUACGCGUCGCCCAACCAGGCCCUGGAGGCGGUGAAAAACGCAGAUGGAUACAAACUGGACAAACAGCAUACAUUCAGGGUCAAUCUCUUCACAGAUUUUGACAAGUACAUGAACAUUAAUGAUGAGUGGGACACUCCGGAGAAACAACCCUUCAAAGACUUUGGUAACAUGCGCCACUGGAUCGAGGACCCUGACUGCCGGGACCAGUACAGUGUGAUCUACGAAGCUGGUGAGAGGACCGCCAUUUUCUCCAAUGACGCCAAGGAUCCGGUCGUCUCCGAAGAGAGAGCGCGCUGGACCGAGACGUACGUGCGCUGGUCCCCCAAAGGCACCUACCUGGCUACCUUCCACCAAAGGGGCAUCGCUCUGUGGGGCGGCGAGAAGUUCAAGCAGAUUCAGAGGUUCAGCCAUCAGGGGGUGUCCCUCAUCGACUUCUCGCCCUGUGAGAGGUACGUCGUGACCUUCAGCCCGCUGAUGGACACCAAAGAGGACCCGCAGGCCAUCAUCAUCUGGGACAUUCUCACGGGCCAGAAGAAAAGAGGUUUCCACUGCGAGAGCGCAGCACACUGGCCCAUUUUCAAAUGGAGUCACGAUGGAAAGUUCUUUGCCAGGAUGACACAAGACACACUGAGCAUCUAUGAGACUCCAUCUAUGGGCCUGCUCGACAAGAAGAGUCUGAAGAUCAGCGGAAUCAAGGACUUCUCGUGGUCCCCAGGCGACAACAUCAUCGCAUUCUGGGUGCCGGAGGACAAGGACAUCCCGGCCAGGGUGACUCUGAUGCAGCUGCCUGCCCGCCAGGAGAUUCGCGUGCGCAACCUUUUCAACGUGGUGGACUGCAAGCUGCACUGGCAGAGGAACGGCGACUAUCUGUGCGUGAAAGUAGACAGGACUCCGAAAGGGACCCAAGGUGUGGUCACAAACUUUGAAAUUUUCCGCAUGCGAGAGAAACAAGUUCCUGUUGAUGUGGUGGAGAUGAAGGAGAGCAUCAUUGCGUUUGCGUGGGAGCCCAACGGCAGCAAGUUUGCAGUUCUGCACGGGGAGUCGCCAAGGAUCAACGCCUCCUUCUACCACGUGAAAAACAACGGCAAGAUCGACCUCAUAAAACUGUUCGACAAGCAGCAGGCCAAUAGCAUCUUCUGGAGCCCCCAGGGACAGUUCUUGGUUCUGGCUGGACUCAGAAGUAUGAACGGCGCACUUGCCUUCGUGGACACGUCCGACUGCACCUUGAUGAACAUAGCGGAGCACUAUAUGGCCUCCGAUGUGGAGUGGGACCCCACCGGGCGCUACGUGGUCACAUCAGUUUCCUGGUGGAGCCACAAGGUGGACAACGCAUAUUGGGUGUGGACAUUCCAGGGUCGCCUUCUUCAGAAGAAUAUCAAGGACCGCUUCUGCCAGCUGCUUUGGAGACCCCGACCUCCUAGCCUGCUCAGUGCGGACCAGAUCAAGAUAAUCAAGAAGGAUCUGAAGAAAUACUCCAAGAUCUUUGAGCAGAAGGAUCGUCUAAGCCAGUCUAAGGCAUCAAAGGAACUUGUGGACAAGCGCAGGGCCAUGAUGGACGAGUACCGUCGCUAUAGGGACCAGGCGCUGCAGGUUUACCAGGAGCAGAAAGAAGCCCGCAUGGAGCUCCGAGGAGGAGUGGACACGGACGAGCCGGACAGCAACGUAGACGACUGGGAGGAGGAGACCAUUGAGUUUUUUAUCAACGAAGAAAUCAUUCCCAUCGGAGAGCUCUAGUUCCCUACGCUGGUAACGAUUGACUAAAAUCAAAUCAAAAGAGACUUUUUAAUAUAUAUUUUUUUCCAGCUCUACCUAAUUUUAUGAACGUCUUAGCAAGGAAAUCAUAACAGAGCGAAGCAGCGUCAUUGACUGGAGAAGGACGACAACAAUUUGGGGUUCCACGUCCUGAGCCUCAACAUUCACCCCACCCCCACCCCCCGAGUGACAUCAUCAGAGCACGCCCGGCAGAUCAACGGCCACAUUGAGGGACUCGAUCAGUUUUUCUUGCCCCCCCCCCCCCCUUGUGGAACUUAUUUACUAAUAGCGCCCCCUGUUGUUUAAUUGGAGUCGGGAGCAGUUCCCGACGUGGGCUCUCUCGUCAUGCUGAUGUGCGUGGCGCCGAGUGCCAUAGCAGCGGGGUGCGGAGGUGCUAAACUAGAAGCCUUGUUCGUGAAUGUGCUGAUGUGGCGCUACAAUGGCCUGUAUCCUCCUCCUUUCAGACUUGCCUUUCACACAGGCAGGGGGUGCGCAGCGGGAAUAACUUUAAAUAAACACUUCAACGUGAUAA